rnacentral:rRNA from 1 species
GACGAACGCUGGCGGCGUGCUUAACACAUGCAAGUCGAACGGAAAGGCCCCUUUGGGGGUACUCGGGUGGCGAACGGGGGCGUAACACGUAAGUAACCUGCCCUUGACUUCGGGAUAACGUCAGGAAACUGGGGCUAAUACCGGAUAGGGAUCCUUGCUGCAUGGGGGGGGUUGGAAAGUUUCGGCGGGUUUGGAUGGACUCUCGGCUUAUCUGCUUGUUGGUGGGGUUGUGGCUUACCAAGGCUUCGUCGGGUAGCCGGCCUGAGGGGGCGACAGGCGACAUUGGGACGGAGAUGCGGCCCUGACUGCUACGGGCGCCAGCAGGGGGGAAGACUGCAGAAUGGGCGCAAGCCUGGUGAAGCAACGCCGCGUGCGGGAUGACGGCCUUCGUGUUGUAAACCGCUUUCAGCAGGGGCGAAGCUUGUGGUGACGGUACCUGCACAAGAAGCACCGGCUAACUACGUG